rnacentral:rRNA from 1 species
AUGAGUUGUCUAGUUUGGAACUGUCGUGGGGCUGGCAAACCCGCGACAGUUCGUGAGCUUCGAGACCUCUCGAAGCAAUUUGCCCCUUCUAUUGUUUGCAUUCUUGAAACACAGAUAGAAGGUUCGCGUGUUGAGAAUCUGGUAGGAACAUUAGGUUAUAAUAAAAGUUUUGCUGUAAGCAGUUCUGGUAGAAGCGGGGGUCUUGGUAUCUUUUGGAACGAGGAAAUAAAACUGGAAGUUAUUGGUUAUUCGGAAUAUCAUAUUGAUACAUAUGCUAAGGAGAUGACAGGACAUAAACUAGAAUAA